GUAGGGAAUAUUAGAAAUGGACGAAAGUCUGAUCUAGCAACACCGCGUGUGCGAAGAAGGCCUUCGGGUCGUAAAGCACUUUUUGGAAGGAAUAGGAAGGAAUGUACUUCCAGAAUAAGUCUCGGCUAACUACGUGCCAGCAGCCGCGGUAACACGUAGGAGGCAAACGUUAUCCGGAUUUACUGGGCGUAAAGCGCGUGUAGGUGGUACUGUAAGUAGGGCGUGAAAGCUCCUGGCUCAACUAGGAGAGGCCGUUCUAAACUACAGAACUAGAGGAUGGUAGAGGGAGGUGGAAUUCCAGGUGUAGCGGUGGAAUGCGCAGAUAUCUGGAGGAACACCGGUGGCGAAGGCGGCCUCCUGGACCAUUCCUGACACUCAGACGCGAAAGCUAGGGUAGCAAACGGGAUUAGAAACCCUAGUAGUCC
rnacentral:rRNA from 1 species